AUAAAAUGCUCCGCAGGGCGCAGCUUGAUACGACCGCAGAGGUCGAACCCUGAACAGUUGGGGCAAGUAUGGACACAACAUUCAAGCUUGAUACAGCUUUGCAUUUGGAUCGUGAUUAAAUAUUUGACACAGCAUAGGUUUCUGACACAGAAUGAAUGUGGUCUAAGAACUUAAAAAAUUUAAAUUGGACAUUCACCUAUUAUGGUCCAAUAUCCAAAAUCUAAAUACAUGGUUAGAUUCAGCAUAUCAAAGAACCCCAAGAAUUCAAUUUUUGAUGAAAUCAAACAAAGUUUAAUUUUGGACCCUUUUGACCUCAAUGUGGACAAAGUUGAUAACGGGGCCCAAAAAAUCAAAAAUCUAAAUACAUGGUUAGAUUCAGCAUAUCAAAGAACCCCAUAUAUUCAAUUUUUGUUGAAAUCAAACAAAGUUUAAUUUUGGACCCCGAUUUGGACCAACUUGAAAACUGGGCCCAUAAUCAAAAAUCUAAAUACAUGUUUAGAUUCAGCAUAUCAAAGAACCCUAAGAAUUCAAUUUUUGUUAAAAUCAAACUAAGUUUAAUUUUGGACCCUUUGGACCUUAAUGUAGACCAAUUUGAAAACGGAACCAAAAAUUAAGAAUCUAAAUACAUGGUUAGAUUCAGCAUAUCAAAGAACCCCAUAUCUUCAAUUUUUGAUGAAAUCAAACAAAGUUUAAUUUUGGACCCUUUGGACCUCAAUGUGGACGAAUUUAAAAAUGGGGCCCAAAAUCCAAAAACUAAAUACACGGUUAGAUUCAGCAUAUUAAAGAACCCCAAGAAUUCAAGAAUAAAACCCCAUUGAAAUUGGUCAAGAAAUAAGCAAUUUAUAUGAAGUAUCUUCUUUUGCACAAUACUGUGCAAUUAAAUAUUUCUUGCUAUUGCGCAAUACUGUACAAUUGACAAUUUCUUGCUAUUGCGCAAUAUUGUGCUAUUAGAUAUUUCUUGCUAUUGUGCAAUACUGUGCAAUUGAAGAUUUCUUGCUAUUGCGCAAUACUGUGCAAUUGAAGAUUUCUUGCUAUUGUGCAAUACUGUGCAAUUGAAAAUUUCUUGCUAUUGCACAAUACUUAUUAUAUAAUAAUUUACACAUCCUGUUUGGUGUGUAUCUCCUACCAUAUCAUUAUUAUUUGCUUUUAAAUAUAAAUCAGAAAUAACCAACUUAAAAUGGAAAAUUUUAAAAGAAAAAAAAAAAGGAAAAAAAGAAAGAAAAAAAAAAUCCCCCCCCCAAUUUUUUGAACCCCCUUAUGAUUUAUCACCCCCAUACUCAAUCCCAGCCUUCCCUUUGUGGUAUGGUACCUUGCAGUACAAUUUCAGAGAGAUCCAUACACUUGAACACAAGUUAUUGUCUGGAAACUAGAAAAAUGCUUAUUUUUGGCCCCUUUUUGGCCCCAAAUUCCUAAACGUUUAUGGCAAUUACCCCCAAACUCAAACCCAGCUUUCCCUUUGUGAUAUGGAACCUUAUAGUACAAUUUCAGAAAGAUCCAUACACUUACACACAAGUUAUUGUCCUGAAACUAGAAAAAUGCUUGUUUUUUGCCCCUUUUGGGCCCCUAAUUCCUAAAAUAUUGAGCAAUUACCCCCAUCAUCAUCCCAGCCUUCCCUUUGUGGUAUGGUACCUUGCAGUACAAUUUCAGAGAGAUCCAUACACUUGAACACAAGUUAUUGUCUGGAAACUAGAAAAAAAUGCUUAUUUUUGGCCCCUUUUUGGCCCCCAAUUCCUAAACGUUUUGGCAAUUACCCCCAAACUCAAUUCCAGCUUUCCCUUUGUGAUAUGGAACCUUGUAGUACAAUUUCAGAAAGAUCCAUACACUUACACACAAGUUAUUGUCAUGAAACUAGAAAAAUGCUUGUUUUUUGCCCCUUUUUUGGCCCCUAAUUCCUAAAAUUUUGAGGCAAUUACCCCCAAAAUCAAUCCCAGCAUUCCUUUUGUGAUAUGGAACUUUGUGGUACAAUGUCAGAGAGAUCCAUACACUAACACACAAGUUAAGUCUGGAAGUUACAAAAAUGCUUAUUUUUGGCCCCUUUUUGGCCCCUUAUUCCUUUACUGUUGGUACCAUAACCCCCAAAAUCAAUCCCAACCUUCCUUUUGUGGUAUUGAACCUUGUGGUAAAAUUUCAUAGAGAUCAAUUCACUUAAACUAAAGUUAGAGUGCGAAAACCAAUGUGUCUUCGGAGGACGCCGGACGACGACGAGGACGCCAACGUCAUACCAAUAUACGACCACAAAAUUUUUUUGCGGUCGUAUAAAAACUAA